rnacentral:misc_RNA from 1 species
CCUGUUGCCGAGGUAAUUGCCUUCCCUCGUUUCAUUACUUUUAUCGCACAAGUGGAGUACUCCUAGUUGAGUACUUUGGGUGAGUUGGGCAUUUGGGUUCGAGUUUAAGUUUCGAGUUAUGCUUGCAGGUAGUUCUAAAUGCAAUAAUUCAUGGUAAAAAUGUAGGGGGUGAUCACAAAAACAAAUGCGGAGAAGACCCUUGAAGAGCUGCGCGCCUACCAAGC